rnacentral:rRNA from 1 species
AGCUUGACUGCGAGCGUGACGGCGCGAGCAGGUGCGAAAGCAGGUCAUAGUGAUCCGGUGGUUCUGAAUGGAAGGGCCAUCGCUCAACGGAUAAAAGGUACUCCGGGGAUAACAGGCUGAUACCGCCCAAGAGUUCAUAUCGACGGCGGUGUUUGGCACCUCGAUGUCGGCUCAUCACAUCCUGGGGCUGAAGUAGGUCCCAAGGGUAUGGCUGUUCGCCAUUUAAAGUGGUACGCGAGCUGGGUUUAGAACGUCGUGAGACAGUUCGGUCCCUAUCUGCCGUGGGCGCUGGAGAACUGAGGGGGGCUGCUCCUAGUACGAGAGGACCGGAGUGGACGCAUCACUGGUGUUCGGGUUGUCAUGCCAAUGGCACUGCCCGGUAGCUAAAUGCGGAAGAGA